UAAGUGAUAAUUUUAAAAAAUCCGUCGAUUUUAAAAAUCGUGAGGGUUCAAGUCCCUCUAUCCCCA
rnacentral:tRNA from 2 species